rnacentral:rRNA from 1 species
CCUACGGGAGGCAGCAGUGGGGAAUUUUGGACAAUGGGCGCAAGCCUGAUCCAGCCAUGCCGCGUGCAGGAUGAAGGCCUUCGGGUUGUAAACUGCUUUUGUACGGAACGAAAAGGUCUUUUUUAAUAAAGAGGGCCCAUGACGGUACCGUAAGAAUAAGCACCGGCUAACUACGUGCCAGCAGCCGCGGUAAUACGUAGGGUGCAAGCGUUAAUCGGAAUUACUGGGCGUAAAGCGUGCGCAGGCGGUAAUGUAAGACAGAUGUGAAAUCCCCGGGCUCAACCUGGGAACUGCAUUUGUGACUGCAUUGCUGGAGUGCGGCAGAGGGGGAUGGAAUUCCGCGUGUAGCAGUGAAAUGCGUAGAUAUGCGGAGGAACGCCGAUGGCGAAGGCAAUCCCCUGGGCCUGCACUGACGCUCAUGCACGAAAGCGUGGGGAGCAAACAGGAUUAGAUACCCUGGUAGUCCACGCCCUAAACGAUGUCAACUGGUUGUUGGGUCUUCAUUGACUCAGUAACGAAGCUAACGCGUGAAGUUGACCGCCUGGGGAGUACGGCCGCGAAGGUUGAAACGUCAAAUGAAUUGACGG